rnacentral:rRNA from 1 species
UACAGAGGUCUCAAGCGUUGUUCGGAUUCAUUGGGCGUAAAGGGUGCGUAGGUGGCGGGGUAAGUCAGGUGUGAAAUCUCGGGGCUCAACCCCGAAACUGCACUUGAUACUGCCUUGCUCGAGUACUGGAGAGGAGAUUGGAAUUUACGGUGUAGCAGUGAAAUGCGUAGAUAUCGUAAGGAAGACCAGUGGCGAAGGCGAAUCUCUGGACAGUUACUGACACUGAGGCACGAAGGCCAGGGGAGCAAACGGGAUUA